GACGAACGCUGGCGGCGUGCUUAACACAUGCAAGUCGAACGGAAAGGCCCUGCUUGCAGGGUACUCGAGUGGCGAACGGGUGAGUAACACGUGGGUGAUCUGCCCUGCGCUUCGGGAUAAGCUUGGGAAACUGGGUCUAAUACCGGAUAGGAACCAUCUUUAGUGUGGUGGUUGGAAAGUUUUUUCGGUGUAGGAUGAGCUCGCGGCCUAUCAGCUUGUUGGUGGGGUAAUGGCCUACCAAGGCGGCGACGGGUAGCCGGCCUGAGAGGGUGUACGGCCACAUUGGGACUGAGAUACGGCCCAGACUCCUACGGGAGGCAGCAGUGGGGAAUAUUGCACAAUGGGCGCAAGCCUGAUGCAGCGACGCCGCGUGGGGGAUGAAGGCCUUCGGGUUGUAAACUCCUUUCGCUAGGGACGAAGCUUUGUUGUGACGGUACCUAGAGAAGAAGCACCGGCUAACUACGUG
rnacentral:rRNA from 1 species